UCUUGUGUAUUCUUUUAUUCUCCUUUCAUUUCAAAACAAAAGGCUAGAAUCAUAUGCUUCAUGCCUAAGGAUUUCUACAAGUUAGUUAAAGCUAGCUUCUCAAGAUUAAUUUAUAUAUGACGAUCAGAAUAUUUUCCUUUUAAUAGAUGUAUUAAAAAAAUGGUUAUCUUCACAUCUUUUUACUUUUAUAAGCAUUCACAAUGUCAACUAAACAGAGAUUGAAUUAGGCUAGACUAGGACGGGUAUCAAAUCAACAAAAAAA
rnacentral:lncRNA from 1 species